AAUAAGAUAGUAUUGACUUUGGUAAUGGUGGCUGAGGUAGGACAAGUGGCCAGUGGGGAGCCUGAUUUUGAGGGACUAGCUGAUCUGAGCUGAGGCAGCUGCUCUGUACUCUGUGUAUUCAGGUGGGGUGCUAGGGAUGGAGAGGGUACUGGGGCAGUGACUCACCAAUGCCGUUGAGCUACAGUACCGGCUGCUACUUGUAUGUAUAUUUUAAGCAUAAAUGAAG
rnacentral:lncRNA from 1 species